GGAUGUGAGGGAGAUCUGGCUGUGACAUCGGUCGCCCCGUUGCUCGCCAGGGUUGAUGUGGCUGAUCUGGCUGGCUAGGUGGCUGUGCCCUUCCUCCCUCAAUGCCCCACGUUCAUCCCUCCAAAAGCUGCAUGCUCCAAGAGGACAACAGACCCCGUUGGAGGAGGACCGGUCCUCGGUCCAGGGUAUAUGAGUAGCUAUGCUCCCCUACUAGAACCUCCAAACAAGCUCUCAAGGAAAAGAGGGACGGGGUCAAUGGAUGUAAAAUUGCUAAGAGGGGACAUCACAGGUGGGAAAAUUCUU
rnacentral:snRNA from 1 species